UGGGUCGUCGUUUGAGACUGU
ensembl:piRNA 21ur-417 ncRNA